rnacentral:lncRNA from 1 species
GUGUGUGUGUGUGUGUGUGUGUGUGUGUGUGUGCGCUCUCUGGUCAAGGGCAUUAGGUCUAUUGUAUCUUUUCCAAAACAAACAUUGAAGAGACAGAGAGGAGUCACAGUCCAGACGACCAACAGGUUAAACAUUGAGGAGACAGAGAGGAGUCACAGACCAGACGACCAACAGGUUAAAACAUUGAAGCGACAGAGAGGAGUCACAGUCCAGACGACCAACAGGUUAAACAUUGAGGAGACAGAGAGGAGUCACAGUCCAGACGACCAACAGGUUAAACAUUGAAGAGACAGAGAGGAGUCACAGACCAGGCGACCAACAGGUUAAAACAUUGAAGCGACAGAGAGGAGUCACAGUCCAG